UGCAUGAGACCGGUGUUCGCUCGCCGUUCCCUUUGUGGGUGGCAGCGAUCUGAGAUAUACGGUCUGAACUUGAUCAGGUUAAAACCUGCGAAAGGACUCAUGCUUUGCUCCCU
rnacentral:ncRNA from 1 species